UUGAGCCGUGUGCUGGAAAACUCGCAUAUAUGGUUCUUAGGAGGGUAGUGGUCAAUAACGGUUACUACUUAUCCGAU
rnacentral:ncRNA from 1 species